GGGCGAAAGCCUGAUGGAGCRACGCCGCGUGAGUGAAGAAGGAUUUCGGUUCGUAAAACUCUGUUGUAAGGGAAGAACAAGUACAGUAGUAACUGGCUGUACCUUGACGGUACCUUAUUAGAAAGCCACGGCUAACUACGUGCCAGCAGCCGCGGUAAUACGUAGGUGGCAAGCGUUGUCCGGAAUUAUUGGGCGUAAAGCGCGCGCAGGUGGUUUCUUAAGUCUGAUGUGAAAGCCCACGGCUCAACCGUGGAGGGUCAUUGGAAACUGGGAGACUUGAGUGCAGAAGAGGAUAGUGGAAUUCCAAGUGUAGCGGUGAAAUGCGUAGAGAUUUGGAGGAACACCAGUGGCGAAGGCGACUAUCUGGUCUGUAACUGACACUGAGGCGCGAAAGCGUGGGGAGCAAACAGGAUUAGAUACCCUGGUAGUCCACGCCGUAAACGAUGAGUGCUAAGUGUUAGGGGGUUUCCGCCCCUUAGUGCUGCAGCUAACGCAUWAAGCACUCCGCCUGG
rnacentral:rRNA from 1 species